CUUCCAGGCUCACAUGCCGAGAGGCUCAGCCUUACUAAAACAAUGAUGUCAGACUGAAGAACCCGAACAUCUGAUGGACAGGAUUAAAGGUGCGUAAACUAUUGUGCUGGACUCAUGUUUCCAUCAAAUGUAGCUAUACAAUGUUGUGGGUUGCUACCACCUCUGCUGGAGGGCUGUUCUUGCAUUUUGCAGGAUUGCUCACAGCUCCAUCUCAAUGAGUUUUAAG